rnacentral:rRNA from 1 species
AUUGAACGCUGGCGGCAGGCUUAACACAUGCAAGUCGAGCGGGGUGAUGGUGCUUGCACUAUCACUCAGCGGCGGACGGGUGAGUAAUGCUUAGGAAUCUGCCUAUUAGUGGGGGACAACAUCUCGAAAGGGAUGCUAAUACCGCAUACGUCCUACGGGAGAAAGCAGGGGAUCACUUGUGACCUUGCGCUAAUAGAUGAGCCUAAGUCGGAUUAGCUAGUUGGUGGGGUAAAGGCCUACCAAGGCGACGAUCUGUAGCGGGUCUGAGAGGAUGAUCCGCCACACUGGGACUGAGACACGGCCCAGACUCCUACGGGAGGCAGCAGUGGGGAAUAUUGGACAAUGGGGGGAUCCCUGAUCCAGCCAUGCCGCGUGUGUGAAGAAGGCCUUAUGGUUGUAAAGCACUUUAAGCGAGGAGGAGGCUACUCUAGUUAAUACCUAGGGAUAGUGGACGUUACUCGCAGAAUAAGCACCGGCUAACUCUGUGCCAGCCGCCGCCGUAA